rnacentral:rRNA from 1 species
GAUGAACGCUGGCGGCGUGCCUAAUACAUGCAAGUCGAGCGAACAGACGAGGAGCUUGCUCCUCUGACGUUAGCGGCGGACGGGUGAGUAACACGUGGAUAACCUACCUAUAAGACUGGGAUAACUUCGGGAAACCGGAGCUAAUACCGGAUAAUAUAUUGAACCGCAUGGUUCAAUAGUGACAGACGGUUUUGCUGUCACUUAUAGAUGGGUCCGCGCCGCAUUAGCUAGUUGUUAAGGUAACGGCUUACCAAGGCAACGAUGCGUAGCCGACCUGAGAGGGUGAUCGGCCACACUGGAACUGAGACACGGUCCAGACUCCUACGGGAGGCAGCAGUAGGGAAUCUUCCGCAAUGGGCGAAAGCCUGACGGAGCAACGCCGCGUGAGUGAUGAAGGUCUUCGGAUCGUAAAACUCUGUUAUUAGGGAAGAACAAAUGUGUAAGUAACUAUGCACGUCUUGACGGUACCUAAUCAGAAAGCCACGGCUAACUACGUG